rnacentral:tRNA from 5 species
GAUUCACUAGCUCAGCGGCAGAGCAUUUGGCUUUUAACCAAAGGGUCCUGGGUUCGAAUCCCAGGUGAAUCACCA